AACUCUAAUAGGCCAUUAUGUACCCAGAUACUAUUUUUAAUCUGCACAACAGAUAGCGCUAGUAGAUUGACCUAGUUCUUUUGUAAAUUCAUAGGUAGCGUUAGUGUUCAUAAUCAAAUGUCAAUUGAAUGUUUAUAAGAAACUAAAUUUAUGCAAUAAAUACUAAUAAUGCAAUAAAUAUAGUGUAAUAUUAAUUUAUUUUGAUUUCAAAAACAGUUGAUUUGUAAAAAUUGUUUUUUUUUUGCAGUAAUAUUCGUUUACAGAUUGAUUUGAGCAUUAUAGUCGCUCUUUUUUUUUUCGGUUUGUAGUAGAUUUUGGUCGAGUGAAAGAUGGAUUUUACAAUGGAGUUUGAUUUAUCAUUUUGAAUUAUUUUCCUAUAUGAUUGUGAAUUAAGAAGCCGAUGAAGAUGCCUGUGAAUACACAUCAAUGUUUUGUGUCUUCGUGCAGGAACAGUAUUACUGUUAAUCCUGAUGUGACAACAUUCAGAUUUCCAUGAAGCCGAAGCAAGUUAUUGAAGUGGAUUGCUGCAAUUGGCUAUGACCUUGAUGCCAGUAAUGCUGAAACAUUUAAAACUAAAUAUGUAUGUUCCGAACAUUUUGAUAUUGGAGCUUUCACUACAUGUGACUGCAUCAAAUUGAAUCGUGGUGCUGCUACAACAUAUUUUAAUUCUGUGGACAGUGAAGUAUGGAUCUAUUGUUAUAAUUUAUUAUGUCUAGAAUGCUGCCAAAUAUAGGUGAAAUGUUUAUGUUACAUAACAUAACUUGUAAGAUCUACUUGUGCAGAUAUAUAUUUUCACCUGCCUCUAAGGUCCUUUGUUAUUCACAGGUAGCAUUUACAUGUGAUGAAGCAGUAUUUAACAUUAUUGGUCAACAUGCAGUCCAUCAUUACAACCUUUGUACAGGCGCAUACAAACAUAUAUGUGUGGGGUAUUUCACACUUUUUAUUUGAUGUUAAAGAUUGGUAUGGUGACCGGGAUACUUUUUUUUAUUAAACCUCCUACACAGUU